rnacentral:rRNA from 1 species
AUUGAACGCUGGCGGCAGGCCUAACACAUGCACGUCGAACGAGUGGCGGACGGGUGAGUAAUGUCUGGGAAACUGCCUGAUGGAGGGGGCUAACUACUGGAAACGGUAGCUCAUACCGCAUACAAUCAGAUGUGCCCCGAUGGGAUUAGCUAGUUGGUGGGGUAACGGACUACUAAGGAGACGAUCAGUAGCUGGUCUGGGAGGAUGAUCAGCCACACUGGGACUGAGACACGGCCCAGACUCCUACGGGAGGAAGCAGUGGGGAAUAUUGGACAAUGGGCGCAAGCCUGAGCCAGCCAUGCCGCGUGAGUGAUGAAGGCCUUAGGGUUGUAAAGCGCUUUUGUCCGGGACGCGGUACCGGAAGAAUAAGCCCCGGCUAACUUCGUGCCAGCAGCGGCGGUAAUAC